AUGGCAAAAAGCGGGCGCCUAGUCCUGCUGAAAUCCGGUCUCACCAUGCUGGCCAUUUAUAUGAUGAUGGUACACAAGCUGCCCGCCUGGGUCUUAAAACGCCUUACUCAGCUUUGUCGCUCCUGGCUCUGGAGUGGUGAGGACACCUGUAGCGGGGGAAAAUGCAGAGUAGGGUGGAACCAAAUAUGUCGCCCCAAGAAUCUUGGAGGACUAGGGGUGUUGGACUUGCGGAGGUUUGGAACGGCGCUGCGUUUAAGAUGGUUAUGGUUGGCUUGGCAGGAUACACCCCGCCCUUGG
rnacentral:rRNA from 1 species